rnacentral:lncRNA from 1 species
AUGGAGGUUCGGUCGGCUCAGGUGGCCGGAAACGGAGGAGGAAAGGGGGAGAGGAGGUCGCGCGCUUGGUGCUAGCGCAAGGAAGAAGAAGGGAAAAAAAAGAAAAGUAAAAGAAAAAGAAAAAGAAAAAGAAAAAAAAGAAAAAAGAAAAAAAAUCUUGGGGCUUCUAGACCAUUCCGGUUCGAUUCGAACCGGUUUGGUCUAAUUUAAUGAUUCGGCUCGAUUUUUGCUCGAUUUUCAAGUUUUUCAAUUGGUUUUUGAAUUAUUCUUGUGGUUUUCAAUUUUUGGGCUUGGGCCCAAUUUGAAAAUUUGGGCUCGAAUUGAGCCUGUUUUACAUUUACAGCCCACACGGCCAAAAUUUGCGAUUUUUGAUUUAAAAAAAAUUCGAAGGUUUUGAAAAUAAAAAUUCGGGGUAUUAUAAACAUGAAGUGUCAACUAUUACUCAUUAAUUUACAAACAUUUUCUUUUUAAAAUAUAUAAAAUAAUGUUUUGAUUGAAAUUCUUAAUUGUCAUUUCAAACUUUAAAUUUGGGAAGCAUGCAAAUCUUGAAAUGCUUGGUGUCAUUUUGGCAUGAGUCGCUCUCCUUUUCUUUUCUUUUGUUUUUUCCUUUCAAUUUUCGUAUUCUCAUCAUUAUAUUUUCUGUAUGUAGAUGAAACGACACAACAAGUUUAUUUCAAAUUUCAGCCAAUUCAAAGCUAUUGUCUUGUCAAUAUCACAAUUUAACAAUAACUAAUUAUGUUGUACGUAUUUCCUUCAAUGUACGUAUUAAUUGAAAGAGAAAAAGAAAUAAUAAAAUAAUGCAAUUUCCCUCUCUAUAAUGAUUAAAAUUAACCUGCAACAUCAUCGAAUAUAUAUAUAAUUAUAACAAUUUAAUCUGCAUAGAAUCAUUUAUCAAUUUUCUUUUGAUUAAAGUCUCAAUACAUUGUAUCAAUAAUACGUUGAUUGAAAUGCUAAGUGACCUUAAUUUCAUAAGGAUAAAAAUAAAAAUUCGAUUCUAAAAAAAUGCAUUUUAUUGAAAAGGCUAAAAAUUUUUACCCUUUACAACUCGAGGGAUUACACCAAUUUCAUAUUAUCUUAUCAUGUUAAUUUUUCUUUUGUACAUUGCUAAAAGAGUAAGUGUUGAGGGAUUAAAUUUAUGAUCUUUUGCAUCACAAAAUAGGUAUUGACUCCACUUAAUUAAAGAUAUUUUUGGAAUAUUUAAAUGUAAAAAGCCUAAAUUUUUUGCAUUUUUAUAAUUUUAUACUUUCCAAAACUUGCUGAUAUAACUAUUAAACUUCAUAAAUGAACAUAAAUACAACUUAAUCAGUAUUGAGUAAGCAAAUAAUAAAAAUAAAAUGAUAAAAAAGCAUGAAUUUAACUAUUUUUACAAUUUUAGUUAGUUCUUUUAAUUAUUAUAUAAUUUCUACUCCAUUGAUAUUAUAAUUUUUAUUUUUAUUUUAUAAUACUAAAUUUAUCUUGUUUAACUUAAUUAAAGAAGAACUAAACUUGAAAAUUAAUUAACAAAUGGGUGUCCUCUAAUCUAACCCAAAAGAUUAAAGAAUUCAGUACUUAAAGUUAAAUUUCCCCGUUUUAUUUUCCCAUUUAAAUUUAAAUAAAAGCGCACUGUUCUUGGCAUAAAUUAACAGCUCCAAUCAUGAAAGUUGGAGCUUAAACAAAAGUGACAGAAAUGUCAACUUAGAGUCAAUAAUGACCUAAAAAUGAGAAAAAAAAAAACUAUAAAAUAAUAUUUCCAUUCUUGAUUGAUUGAUAUUUAAUAUUUUUAAUUAGUGUAUUUCUCUCCUUUUCUAAUUGCACGCGCGAAACUAUCACUGUCUCAACCAAAUCUUUGGUUAUUAUAUUAACAUUAUUAACAUUCAUUUUUCUUGGAUUAAUGAAAUUUUCAACGCCUUCUACGUCAAGGGAAGACCGUGUUGAAAUAAUUAUCACUACACAAUAAAAAAUCAACUUGAAAUCAAUUACUCCCUAAUUAAUAUAAAUUUGACUUUUAAUAAAUAAAUAAAUAAAUAAAUUAGUAAAAGGAGCAUUUUAAUUUUCUGCAAAGUAUAUUUUUUUUGUUUGUUUUUUUGAGGGUAUUGAGAUUAAUUUUCUUUCUGAGUCAAUUCCACUUGUGCUUUUUUCUGCAAAUUAUUUAUUGUUUUAAAAGGAAAAAGGAAUUAAAUUCAAACGUCAUGAUUUAUGACUAUAUCAUAACAAUGAAAAGACCAAUAUAGAUUCGUGGGUUUGGCUGAUAAUAGUAAUUGGCUAAAAAGUGACGAACAGAAUAUAGAAAAUGAAAGGAAAGCGUUUAUAUUCUAAACCAGAAAGCCAUCAGCUUGACCAUCCAGGUGCAAUGGACUCAACCUGUAGUCCAUAAUCCAUAUUGAAACUUCUCCUAGAACGCCUAAAUGAUUCUCAGCCACCUCAUUCUCCACGAGGCCAAACAUCGUUUCUUUGACAUUCGCCAGGUGUCUUUUUUAUCCAUAUAAAUAUUAUUUACAAGCACUUAUGUAAGCCAUGCAAAACAUAACAAACUACACUACUCUGCAACUAAGCAUGGAUGAGGAUAAGAGCACAAAGAGCAAUAAGGAAGAAAGAAGCGACGGUGAAGUCAAAUACAGAGGCGUUCGAAGGCGGCCGUGGGGUAAAUUUGCGGCGGAGAUACGCGACUCCACCAGACAUGGAGCGCGGGUUUGGCUUGGAACUUUUAAAACGGCAGAGGAAGCAGCAAGAGCUUAUGACCGAGCCGCUUAUGCAAUGAGAGGGCAGUUUGCGAUUCUUAACUUCCCUAAUGAGUAUCCUCUUACAAGCACAGCUGGUGCUGGCGCUUCUUCUUCUUCAUCUUCUUCUGCUCCUCCUCCUCCUCCUCCUUCUUCUUCAGCAAUGACAAGGCAAGUUUUUGAGAUAGAGUAUUUGGAUGAUAAGUUACUGGAAGAGAUGCUUGAGACAGAAGAGCAAAAGAACAAGAAAAAGUAAUGAAGUUAAAAUUAUCAAAAACCCAUAAUGUAAGAUGUUUCUGCUUUGUUGCAACAAAAAUAUACAAAUGGUUUCUGUCUCUUGCACAUUAGAUUACCAUAAGACAUUACUACACGGGGAAAGAGUUAUCUACACCGCAUGCAUGGCCACAUCUAUAUCCAACCACUCACAUACGGUAUUUUGGUUCAAACAGGGGCAAUUUUGAUAAUAUAUUGGGAAAAAAAUGAUAAAAUGGUAACAUUUUUUUAAGACCCUAUUUUUUAAUUGGCUUGGUGUACAAGACCACACAUACAUCAGUUGUAAGAAAUUUUUAUCUUUGCUAUAUAAUUAAACUUUAUAUAAGUUUUUUUCACUUAUCAUACUUUAGUUAAAUUUGAGUGUAACAGAAUGUCUGAUGGCUAGAGUCUAGUCUUGAAUAUAUCUAGUUUUUUCCUAGCAUUUUUAGUUACUAAUAAAAAGAAAUUUGUUUGCCUAUAAAAAAAUACUAUGCAGUGUGUAUUUCAUGUUUUUUUCUUUUUAUUUUUAAUUAAUGACUGGUGAAUGCAUAUUCCCUCAAUAAAAGGUUGUGAGAAUAUUGAAACAUCUUGUACUUUUCUAGAAGGCAUAUGUUAUUGUCCAUCAAAUUGAUAAUUUGGUUCUUUUUCUAGUUCUAGAUUAUGGCAUGUUACCUAACUUAACCUUUUGUUUUAUAGCUUCUUAUUUAUACACAUUAUAUGAUGACUGCCUAGAAUUCAAUUUCCCAUGUGGAAAGAAAAGAAAUUUUAAUUAUUAAUUUAAUUUGCAUAUGUAACUGAAUGAACUACCCAACAGAACAAACUGAAAACCAACUAAUUAACUACCAUCUACUGCCUUUCAAGUAGCGAACCAACCAUUAUUGCACAUAUAUAUGGCGGCGACAAAGAUUGAGUUUUAAUUGAUGAGAGACAGAUUCAAUCUAAAAGUCUAAACUUAUGCAUAUAUGUUGUAGACUUGCCAAUUUACUUGCUUUCAUAUAUGCGAGGUUCAAUCACUUUAAACGAAUUGUCGGCUUGGUCGAGGACGACGAAAGGAUGCUUACAAUUAUUUGAACAAUUGACUAGUUAUCGUUUUCCGGUAGAGACACAGAGUUAUCAGUUCAUGAGUUUAACUUUUUACCUUCAAGUGGCUCAAUAAUUUUAUCAUUUUACUAGAAUUUCCAUCAUCCUGAGAUCAUUAGCAUCUCAAUAUCAGGGUACAGCUAGGAUUUUUAAGAGAUGUAAAACUAUUUAAAACCUGGUUUUGAACUUAGGCUUUGCUAAGGACCAACAUCAUGUGCCUCUGCUCCUGCUCAAUUUGCCUGCAGUUUUCUAAAUAAAUUUGAUUUCCAAUUCCAUAUAUACAUGUUCUUUCAAGGCAGUAACGCCAAUAAAGCAAGUCGUAGUGCAAAUCGUAUGGACUCGGCAAUUUAUCUGAGCCUUUUAUUUAUUUCUAAUAUAUACGACUCUUCUAGAUGAUUUUGUUCGAACAAAGAAAUCAUUUGCUUUAUUCAGAUGCUUCUUUAAUUCACGGAAAUUAUAAUAGCUUAUGAAAUAUAAUUGAGGUCCUGUCAUUUUGAUUCAUAUAUUCGAUAAUAACAUUUCAUCAAGGAAUAAUAUUUUUCACCGUCUUUUAAGAUGUGAUUAGAUUAUAACGAUUCCAUUUCACAGUAAAUAUCAUAUUCUGGGGUUCUUCAAACCAUAAACAUCUUGAUCUUUGCCCUUCUUUUUUUUUAUCUUAUAGUUGCUUUUCUUAUUAUUUUACAAAAAUUAAACUUUGAUCCAGUAUAUGCAGAUUUUCCUUUUUUUUUUUUUUUUUUUUUUAGAGAAAAUAGAAAAACUGGAGCUAUAUAAUAAAUUAUGGAAUUGCAGCAACUUUAAUUAAUUCAUUUAAAUUCCAGAAAUCCAUGGAAUUAACUACCAAGCCAUACAUUUCUCAUCUAAUGGGUGAACCACAAUUUAUUCAUCUUCUAUCUUAUAUGUAUAAAUAUAGAAAAGCUCUUCACUACAACAGUUAAUGUGAAGAGAAUGCAGAUAAUAUUCAUCAAUCUUCCCGUCGUUUCUUCUUCUUCUCCUCCUCUGAUUCAAGAAGCUCCUCCAAGACCGUAUCAUCUAAAUACUCGAACUCAAACACUUGCUUCUCUUGCCCACUCGAACUGGAGCUUCCUCUCUCAGAACUCAUCUCCAUUGCACCACUAAAUGAAGAGGAAGGAGAUGACGACUGAUGAGGAGAAGACGAUGAAGCAAUUACUCGAGAAUAAUAUUCAUUAGGAAAAUUAAGGAUUGCAAGAUGACCUCUCAUGCUAAAUGCAGCUCUAUCAUAAGCACGCGCCGCCUCCUCUGCGGUGUCAAAUGUUCCUAGCCACAACCUAGCCCCCUGCCUUGAUGGGUCUCGAAUCUCCGACGCAUAUUUCCCCCACGGCCGCCUUCUUACCCCUCGGUAAUGCACUUCUUCUCUUCCUUUAUCUUCUUUGUUCUUGGUCCCUUUGCUGCUACUGCCUUCCAUAUAAUAAGACUAUCUAAUUAAUUUGUAUUUAUCAAUUAAUUAAAUUAUUGGUUUGGUAAAUUGUAUUUUUCAAAUUUGAAGCUUGGUAAUUUGGUUAUGUUAUUAUAAUGGGUGGGUGAUAUUUAUAUAUGAAUUUUGGAUCUUUAGGUCAUUAAAAUUUUAAUUAAUUACCAAUUAGGAAUUCUCAAUUACGUGGAUUUGACUAUAUAUAUAUAUCUGGUAACUCUAUUUCGAGGAAGGUUCUUUGCAGUACAAAUAUGAAUUGGAUUGUUCUAUGAUUCUAAUAAUGGUAUUGGAAAAGCAUAGUAAAAAUAUUAAUUUUUAAAGAGGUUCUUAUUCUGUUAAUUUGGAAUAAAUGUAUAGCAUGAGUAAUAGUGUAUGUCACUAGCAAAUCUGAAAUCUAUAUGCUGACUUCAUGACCGCUAUUAAGAUAAUAAAAUUUAAUUAAUUUUAUUAGCAUUUCUUCGAUAUGAUGCCCAAAUCAAAUUUGGUUUUUAUGUAAUUAGAUUUAAUUGGACCUACCCUUACAAUUAACUUGCUAAUAAAGUUAAUAUUAUUCUAUUUAUGGUGCUCAAAAUCAAAAAUGGAAGACCUAGUCCUACCUCCUCCUUUCUCUUUUCCCAUAAAGGUAUUGGCAUUUGGCACCUUACUAUUUCGAUUCUCUGAAUUUUUUUUUUUUUUGGUAAUUACUGUAUAGAUUUUAUUCAAAUGCUCUUAGUGACUACCUCAAUUCAGGUUGUGGCUCAAAUUCGCAACGUAGAUUGGAUACAUGGAAAGAAUUCUAGGAUUUGAUCUCCAUUAAACAUACCUACAUAGAAGGGUGAAGAGUUUUAACUGUGACUAAACUCCGAACCAGAUUAAUUGAUCUCCGAUAAUGUCCAAACACUGAUGGUUUACACGAAAAAAAGACCUCAAUUUUUAAAAUUAUACUAUUUAGAUAUUGUCUUAUAAUUUCUACUACUCUAAGGUCCAACCGUUAGUUUUCAUUAAAUGAAAUAUCAAAAGAUAAUUACUAUACAAUUCUUAUGGUUUAGAGAAAUGUACUAAUCAAGACCUCAAUUUACAUAAUUUUUAUACUAUUUAACCUCUAUAUAAUAAUUCUUCUUGAGUGUCUGUUUGAUAUUUCAUAACCACUUGACGGAAAUACAAACAGCUGGACCUAAUAAUAUAAUAUAACUAUAAUGUAAUGACUAAAUGGUGUAAUUUUGAAAAUUGAAGUUCAUACUAACGCAUUUGAUAACAAUAUAAGGAUUAUACAGUAAUUUACUUUAAUUUUUUAUGGAUUAAUUAUGAAAAAAACAAAACUGAAUUCCUUCCUGACUAGGUAAUCGAGUCUCAGUUGGAUUAUUCGAUUUGAUUACUUAUAAUUGAAUAAUUCUACAGUCUUAUACAAGACCACGUGCUCUCUCAAUUCUUUCAAUUCAUAUCUACUUGUAAAUUUGGAUUUAUUAGAAAUUGAAAUGUUUUCUAACAACGGUUUAAUGAUUUUCAACCAUAUUAUUUUGCAUACAUAUUUUCACAUUCAGACCGGAUGGUAAAGUCGAAUUGAUGGGCAGAAAGUUUCAGACAUAAAAGGAAGGCCUUCAUUAUUCUGUAAUGAUGUCCUGUAACAAAACAAUAAACUUAAUUUUGAAAAAAUUAAUAAAAGAAAAACAAAAAGAAGAAACAAUUUCUUGUUUGGACAAAGGGUGGCCCAAAUGAUGAAACGCAGCCCAGUUGAUUUUACGUAAGCAAACCCAACCCGCAAUAGAUUCCUUGGUUUAUUCUUGCUAUUAUGAACAGGUAGCAGAUAUAUUAAUUUUAGAAAGCAAUUUUAAUUUUUCGUAUUUUUACAUUUUUUUGGUCAAAAAUGUCAUUAUUAUUAUUAUUAUUAUUAUUAUUAUCAGAAAAAAAAUUAACAGAUUGAAUGUGGUUUUAUGGAGAAAAAUGAAAAAGAAGUGUUGAGUUGGAGUCUAUUAGCAAUUAGCAGCCAUUCAAUUCAAAUGUUUGCAGAGAAGAAAUGAGUUCAUUAAUGCAUUGGGCGGUGGUCAAAUAGAUAGGCCCAUUUAUUGGGUUGGGUUGGGACCCAAAGGAGCCUAAAUUAUCAUUUUUAUUGUUUUUGUAAAAUAAAUUUAAUUUAGCAGAUGAUAUCAAACAAAUUCUACUUUUGAUUGUAGACUAAAGCCUUGGUCUUUUUUAUAUGACAAUGGCCUUUCUUAUAUUUUAAUAAUAAUAUAAGCUCGCAAUAAAUAUUUAAAUAUUUUUAUUGUUAAAUUAUUAUUAAAAUCAUUCUAUUUAAUUGUGUUAUACUUUUUUUUAAAUUAAAAAGAGAACGAAAAUAUGAAUAAUAGUAUAUUUUCAGGUAAUAAAUAAAUAUAUUUGUCAUUAGAUGUAACAUAUAUAAUUAAAAUAGAAUGAAUAAAAUAGAAAAAUACUACAUAUGUAGAUACGAAGAUAUCUAAUUACCAAUAUGUGAUAGAAAGAUAUCUAAAAAAGUGGAGGACAAGUUCUAUAAGAGGUUGUAAAAAAUCUAAGAGUUCUUAACAUUGUCAUGUAGAUAAUUAUGAACAAAGUGAAAUAUAAAUAAAUAAUUUAUAUAGCUAAUUCUAAUUAAUUUCGCUUUGUUUAUAUUUUAAUGGAAUAUUACUAAAUACAUUAAUAAUAUAUAUCUCCUUAGGAUUUUGUUUUUCUCAAUAUUUAUUUAUGUUUGAAAAAGUGCCGUCAUAUUUUUGGCAUCUAGUCAUGUCAAAACGACUACCUAUUUGUUAUGCCAAUUUGGAAACCUUAGCCACGAUUGCUCAACUGUUUCAGGCAGCCGCCAUAAUUUUGUCGUUUAGUAAUGACGUAUUGCAUCCAUAGACAAGUAUUUUGGAACACAAAAAUAUUAAUUAAUAAUUUUUUUUUCUAAAAGAACAUAAGCAAAUUUUCCACUUGUAAAAUUUUUAUUUGAUAGAACUCCUAACAAGCAAUACAGCUUGCUUUUGGCUCAUGAAAUAAAAUAAAGAGUAUUUACACAAUUAUUUUUCUUCUUCUAUUUAAAGAAAAAGGGUAUUCACACAAUGGAUUGGACCAGCCCAAUUUAGAAUCGAGGUGGGGCCUAGAUUACAUUUCCAAAUAAUUUAGCGCCCGGGUUGGAUUCCAGCCCAAUCCAGCAAUCGUAUGGUUACUCCCUUAAUUGAAAAAUUAAUUAACUGGGAUAUGUGUUUUGCUUUAUUUAUUUUUGAAAAAUAAUUUAUCUGAUAAAUAUUAUUUACGUAUUUGAGAUGUUCAGAAAAGAAUUAAUAAAAUGGGAUAUGAAAAUCUUUUUAUAAUCAACGGAAAAAUUAAAAUUUUUUUUAAGUAAAUUGACUUUCUGUUUUUAAGAGAGGAGAGGAUAUCUUUCAAAUAUUGACAAACUCAUUAUAAUUUUAUAAAUACAUAUUUAUUAAUUUAUUAAUAACUAAUACCCACAAUCACCAUUUACUUAUCACUAUUUUUUAUGUAAUUUUUCAUAUUAAUGAUAAAAUUUUAAAUAUAAAUUUUUACAAUCAUAAUUAUUUUUAUAAUUUUAUAAGUUAAAAUAUUUUAAACUAAUUUUCUAUAAUAUAAUCAAACAAUGGAAAAUAAAUCAUUUAAAAAUUAUUUUUUCGGGAAAACAUUUUCUUUAAGUAAUAAAUUUUCAAAAAUAAGUUAUUUUUAAGAAAUAAACAAAAAUUUAGUUUCCCAAAAUUUAAAUUCAUGAAAAAUAUAAAUUGAUCAAGAUAUUUUAAUACCAUCUGCAUUCACUUAUGCAGCAAAUUAACUAAAUAUAGAUAUUUGAUAUAAAUAAAGGUGUCAUAAUAUAAAAGCACAAAACUUCGUAGGCAAAUUUAUGAAUUUGGAAAAUAUUUUUCAAUAUUCUCAUCAUCAUCUCCACGCCUACAAGGCUGCGCGGAUCAUUAGUUACCAAUUUAUAUGUAUAGAUUCAGUUAAUCUCCUUAAGUUAAUGAUUUAAUCAACUCAGCAACUAUCAUAAGUUUAUUGGUAAAUGUUAAGCUGAUAUUUUAUUAAAUAAUAUAUCUAUAACAGCCUAUCAUUACCCACCUAAUCCUCAUAGGUACAUUGAGCCUAACCAUAACAGUUGCAAAUGCUUCAUUCUAAUUGAUUUGAAGCAUCUUAACUUUUCUAGUUGAAAAAGCACGUUUCUAAUGUGAAUAACACAAAUAUGUUUAGGGUACUCUGAAACAAGCUAAAAGGUUAACACCAGGAGAAGAAUAUUCGCUACUAAUUAAUCAUUAAUUACAUUACAAAUUAAUAUGAUUAGUCCUUGUAUAGUAUACAUCAUAAGCAACUAAUCUAAUGAAUCUAAACUGUAAACAUGUGUUAGUAAAAUUUACUGUGUUUUGGUAAUUAUUAGUUGUUUUGUUAGUCGUUAGCUGUUUUAGCAGUAUUUAGCUGUUUGAGUAACUUUUUAUAAAACCAUUAAAAACUAAACGUUACAAGAAUUAAUAUUUUAUAAAAUGUUACAUUAACUUCUAAACAUUAGUAGAAAUGCUAUAUAUGUUACAAAACACUAUUAAAAAUAACGUUUAGGGUUUUGACCAAAUACUUAAAAUGCUGUUAUCUAACAUGACAUGUAUAAUUUUUUACCUUAAUCAAAGUGCACCUUCUGAUUACAAUUUGGAAAGGUAAUUAGUAGGAACAUAUAUAUGGACAAAUCUUAUAAUUAAGCUAAUUGCCAUUUAAACAUUUGUUUAUUGGAUUUGGUAGUAUAGUUCAAUAAGAGUGUUACAUGUACUGAUUCAUGCACCCAUUACAUCUUAACAAUAGUGGAAGUUUGAAACUUUAGUAUUAGGAUAUGCAUUUGAUGUCAUGUCACAAUCUUUUAUUCUUGUUGGUCCUCUCUUAGGGAUAUAACUAUUAUUCAAACAUAUAUGAAGAAUGUUCGGUCCAACUAUGUAUUAAUUAACUAUGGACUUACUGUUAAUUUUCCUGGUUUCAGGCAUUGUAGAAGCAGAAACUUCAUUAAGCCUUCCUUUAAGAGAAGAGUUUUAUUGCCAUUGCUCUUGUUUUAUUUUAUUUUAUUAAACGAGAUCUCAAGUCAUAGAUGGAACUUAAAAUUGCUAAGUGCAUGCAUUUAGUUAUGUUAAUAUUCACUAUCACUAUAGUUAUAGAAAAUGUUGUUACCUCAUCGCUGACCUAACGAAUCUUAACAAUAAUUAUUUUUGUGGAAUUACACUUAUGGGUUUAAUUCAAAACCUUUCACUGUAUUGGUCAUGGCAUGUGGGUUGUCAUGAAUUUUUGUUACUUCGUCAUGGGAUUUAUUAUGAUCAUCUUUAUAUUUCACGUGAAUGAGCUGAAAUUCAAAAUCAAAAAAAAAAAAAAUGUCUUAGCAGUUUUUUUUAUAAUUUUAAUUUUAAAAACAAUGUAAUACAUUUAUUGCCUUUAAUUUAAAGAGUCUGAAAUAUUUAAAAUUUUCAUAUUGUUUAUUAAAUAGAUGUAUAAUUUUGUCUCUUUUUUCCUUGACAAUUAUAUAUAUAUUAAAAUUUAUUUUAAUACACUGGAAAAAUAAAAGUGCUAGAGUUUUUUUCUUUUUCCCUUUUUUUUCAUCUUUUGAAACAUGAAAUUAGAUGUUGUUAUCCAUGAGAUGUGAAUGCUUAAAAAUUGAUUUUGCAUCACUUUCUUUAAUAGAUAAUAUAUAAUUAUGGGUAGCAAUAAUAGAGAAGUCACAAUCAUGGUCACGAUUUCAUCCUACUCAGAAUAUUCAGCAAGUUCAUUUUGUACACAAGAUUUGCCAAUCUUUCUAUUUGUGUGUCAUUCAAAUCACUACUACAAUUAAGUGAUAAAUGACUCUUUUUUGCUAUUUGAAAAACAAAAAUUGGAGAGAAGAACAUAAAAUAAAAAAUGAAUAAUUGUCGCCGGAAUAUAAUAAACCCUCCGGCGGCUUGAAUAAGACGGGGAGAAAUGGUUGGUGGAAAGGGGAGGGACGGUGGGACAAUAACAAUGGCAUAAAUGCAAAAGUUAAAAACUUAAAAAUGUGAAAAUUGUAUGAACGGACCAUGUACCAUGAAUCUGUAGGCAUCAUGUCUCGCCUAACCGAUUAGUCAAAAUUAUAUUUAUGUUAGUGUUCCUUGGUUAAGGAAUAGGAUAUAUAUAUAUAUUUUUUGUUUUAAAAAAAAAAAAAAGAGAAAUAAUAGAAACUAAGGAGUGACAAAUUGAGUAGGGACCGCUGCCUGCUACAGUAUACAGCAAGAGGCCAACUCUCACUAUCUGAUCACGUGAGGGGAAGGGAACGGAGACAUUUAUACAUUUUUGUCAUAAUUUUUUUAUGGUCAUUAAAGAACUUAAAAGAACCUGGGAGUUCCAUCGUAUGUGUUGAUUGAUUUUAUUCUGUUUUGUCACUCUUUUCUAAUUUUCUAUUGGCUUAAUCAUUAGAAAAAAAAAAAACCUUAGAUUUUUGAGUUUUUUUUUUUUCAAAUUUAGAUAAUACUUUUAAUUUUGUAGAUAAUAUCCUAUAUUUAUUUUUUAUCGUCAAUUCUACCCUUUAUCUAGAGCCCAAUUGAGUGUGGUAGAGUGAUACAGCUCUAGAAGCAAAGGAUCUACUUGGUAGAUCUAGGUGUUGCCUACUCUGCAAGUUGCUUGCUGAGAAUCUAUAUUGUAAAGUGAUACUAAAUUCUUUUAAGCUUUUGAUGGGGUAGAAAGAAGAUAGUUUCAACAGUGUAAUCCUCCAAUAUAGAGAUUCUAAAAUGGCCAAAUAAUGAUCAUAUGAAUGUGAGCUAACAUAUUGUAGGGCAAUUAAAGGCUAAAUAAGCAAGAAAUUGACGGACACUGAAAAGACCGUAAUUGACAAAGGAAAAUAAGUCUGAGAUAGUAAUUAACAAAAUUAGAAGUAUUGGCUAAAUUUGCCAAAAGCGUCAAAGUUCAAUUUUUUUUUUUUUUUUGGUGAUUUAGCCUUUUCUAUUUGCCUAUCUAUUUAUAUGCAAUAUAAUUUUUUUUACAAUUUGAUUAAUGUUACUCAAAGGGUAACGUUACCCUACUAUGUAGCACAUAAUAUUAUUUCGAUGUGUUGGAUAGUAUAAAAAAAAAAAAUGAAAAUGUGGAAAAACCAAAUAAGUAUACUAAUUUUUAUUCAUCAGGUAUUAACAUUUCAUUUGCCUCCUAAAACUCCUCCAAAUUAACAUAGAUAUGAGAUUGUUAAUGCAAAUUCAAAAUAAAAUCAAGUAUGAAAUUACUAAUUUCAUUGGCUAAUUUUGUCAUUACACCAAUGAAAUUUCUGAAAAGGACAUGUAUCCCAAAACGGGUUUCCCAGAAGCUACAUUACAAUAUGAAAUUUUCAAAAAAGAUCUAAGAUACCCUACAGUUGAUAAGCACAAUUAAAGAAAGAAUGGACUCCUUAGGUCACUUUCCAAGAACAGUAUCCUUUCUUUUUGGAAGACUUCACAUUUUCAAUAAUUUUAUCUCUCAAGUUUUGGAGACUUUGAAAUAUUUUCUUGAGCUUCAAGGGGGCCUGUAUCCAGACUUCUUCUAGACGUCAAGUUCACAUUUAUUUAUAUAUAUUUCUAUUUAUUUAAAAUCUGGGUUUCAUUUAGGCCCUAUGUUUAGGAUAAUGAUGCAAUUGAAUAAAUCACCAUAAAUAAACAAUUUUGCUCUCUUCAUUUGCUUGGCAAUUAUUAUUAUUUUUUUAUUGUAAUAAUAUAAUAAAUUUAAAUUGGAAGAAGUCGUUUUAUUUCCAAUUUUCAUACAUUACUUAGGGUUGGCAGCAAUUUAUGAUUAUCACAAAAUCAAUUCACAUGAACCCUGAUGCUGUAUAAAGAAACAUGGAUCAGAGUUUUAAAAAGAAUACAAUUAAAUAAAAAAAAAAGGUUUUUAUUUUUCUUUUUAGUAAAUUAACAAUUGUUUUCUCGUUUGAAUCAAGAAUCGUAUAAUUCAUUUACAAUGCAAUACAUUUCUAUUGACAUAACCGUUUACUUGUUUGUUUAUAUAUAUUUCCUUUUUAAAUCAUAUAAAUGAAAACAUGCUCAUGAAAAAUGAAACAAAAUUGAUUGUUGAAAAAAGAAAACACUAAUAAAAAGGGAUAAUAACGAGAUUGUCCCUUAAUGCUAUGAAACCUGAAAAUUUAAUUAAUCCAAGAACCUGUGAAGUUCCUUCAGUUACUAUUCCUAAAAUACUCUGUUUUUUCAAUUUCGUCCAAACAAUACUCAUCCCCGCAAUGAGUAGUAUUGCUGACUUUCCUUUCAACUUGGCUCGUUUUAUCAAGAACCGAGACAAAUAUUUUAAAUAUUUUCAACAUUUCAGGAUAGAAGUUAUACAUUACUUAUUUAACAAUAUUUUUUCGAAAAAAUUUCGUACCGUCCUAAAUAUUAUAGGACUUAUUACACCUCUAAAAUUAUAAAUUUUGAAUAAUAUUGCAUGGUAACAACAUGUUUUAGAGUUUUUGAUUUUUAUAUGUAAACUAAUUAUUUGACACAUGAUUAAUAUAACUUUUGAAAUAAUAAUUUUCACUUAUUUUAGUUAUGUAAUAAAUGUUUAAUCGAUUUAAUUUUUGAAAUUGAACCAUUUAAUAGAAUAAUUUUAUAAAUUAAAAUAUAUAAUAAGUGUAUUUUAUAAGUUGAAAUGAUUAUAUUCAGAAUAAAAAUUGAGAAUGCCUCGAAUUUAAUAAGAUAUCAUGCAUCUUAUAAUUAAUGUAAAGAUUUUAAAUUAAAAUUUUAUUUUUCAUCUUUUAUUUUCAUUAAGGCUACAUUUUCAAAAAAUAAUUUACAUUGAAAAAUGUGUCUUCAUUUCACACUUAAAACAGUUCAAAUAAUUUAUUUUCUAUUAUUUAGUUACAACAUUAAAAAUAAUAAGAUUACUAGUUGUAAUUAGCAGCAAUUGAUAAUAGUGAGUAUCAUUGAUAAAGAGAGUAAUAUAAAUUUGUGUUUAUAAGGUUUUAAUAAAUUUAUAAUUUUUUUUUUCCUGAAAAAGAGGUAUCAUUUUUCUUUAAAAUAACUUAAUUUUCAUUUGACAACCAAAAUAUUUUUCACUUUCACUAUACUAUUUUCUUAAUCACUCCUAAACAUCUAAAUAUUUUUGUUGGAAAAUAGCAGAGGUUAAUGAAUAAUAAUAAUUAAAAAAGAAAAAAAAAAGAGUGGUUGGUCUAUUGCCCAAGAAAACAAGUCAUCCUCUAUUUUCCAGGAAAUAAAAGCAAAGUUAAGCCAACGGCAAUACAACCGCAAAGCUGAUUUGUCCUGAUCAUGGGAAGAAACGGAAAUAUCAACAUCGUCCACGUGAGAUGAUAAAUGGACAAGGCCCAACCCAAUCUUCACUCCCAGACAAAAUUGAGAUCAUACUCUGACGUCACUCAACAUUUCCCCUCUGACCUGGCCGCCUUGGUAGUUGCUUCAAUUGACCCACGUGUGAUUUUGGCCCAUUUAUGGCCCACACCAACGCUAAAGGGAAUUAAAAGUGCAACUCAUCUCCUAUUCUUUUACCUUCACGUUUUUUUACCCUUCUCAGUAAUUUUAAUACUUCCGUAACUGUAAAAUCCUACUUCUCUAUCUUCUUUGCUGCGAAUAUAAAAGGGAUACCAGGCUUCCAUUUUUGUAUACCUCAGGCUCAGGCUCAGUAUGCACUUCUAAAAGCAUACCAAACAGUCAACCAACUAAACAUUCCAAAUCUCGUUACCAGAUUCACAUGGAUUCCUCAAAUUUUUACUCUCCCAAUUCUGAUUUCUCAUCGGAAUCUUCUUUCGGAUCGCCGGAAUCCUUCUAUAGCCCAUCGUUUAACCAAGAUUCUCUCCCUUUCAAUGAAAAUGAUUCCGAAGAAAUGCUUUUGUAUGGACUAAUUUCAGAGGCAACGCAAGAAACGUCAAAAAUGGAUUAUUCGAACAAAAAAAUCAAAGAAGAGGAGGUGAGUUCAAUAAUAAAACAAAACACAAAGAAGGAAAGCAAAUCCUUCAGAGGUGUAAGGAGGCGGCCAUGGGGAAAAUUCGCGGCGGAGAUAAGAGAUUCAACUAGGCAUGGAAUAAGAGUAUGGUUAGGGACAUUUGAUAGCGCAGAGGCAGCUGCUUUAGCUUACGAUCAAGCUGCUUUUUCAAUGAGAGGAGCUGGGGCUGUACUGAAUUUUCCAGUUGAAAGAGUAAAAGAGUCACUUGAGGAUAUGAAAUACAGCCAUGAAGAAGAUGGCUGCUCACCUGUUGUAGCUCUUAAAAGAAAACAUACUAUGAGAAGGAAAAUUAUGAGCAGAGCCAAGAAAGAAAACGUCGUCGUUUUGGAAGAUUUAGGUCCUGAUUACUUGGAGCAGCUUCUUUCUUCCUCUGAAAAUGCUACACCUUGGUCAACCAAGUUCAUCUAGACUUAUUUGCUUCAUCUUUAUCUUUUUGUCUCACGUCAUUGCAAUGGUUGGAGAAACGAUUGUUUUUUUGAAUUUAGGUGUGUACCUUGAUAUCUUUUUUUUUUUUUUUUCCCUUGUAAAGUUUAUAGGGAUUUACUAAUUAAAUAUUGUAGUAAUUAAUCUUGUGAGUUUCAAUCACUGAUUUAAGUAUCAAUUCACAAGUUCCAUCUUCAUGUUGGAAACAGAGGACUCUGUAAAUUAAACAGAGUUGCACCACUGUAAUGACAGGACACAAUAGAGAAGCACAACUGCUUCACGUAAUUGCAAGUUUGCAACUAUAAAACAUUAUUGCUUGAUUUUAUGGAAAUCACCCAAAAAUAUAAUUGACCAUUUCAUUUCUAAUAACACUUCUUUACCCUCAUGACUCGUUUCAUAUCAGUGACGGUGCCCGUCCAUGCAAUGGCAUUUUAGAAAAUCUCAUGCAUGUUUUUUUUUAUCGUUGUACUUUAUUUUAAAUUUUUAUUGCACAAAUGUGCAUGAUCUAAUGAUAAGUACGUGUACUAUUUGGGUAUAAUUUAAGUUCAAUUUUUUCAAUAAAAAUUAUGUUUGGUUUUUUUUUUUUUAAUAUUAAGAAAUGAACGACGAGAUUUUACGACGGUGAGAUUUCAAUCUAUAUUCACUUUUAUAUAAUUUUAUUUUUACCGCUAAACUAAGAUACUCAUUAUAUUUAAAUAUUAAUACCAACAAGUGUACAAGUAUUGAGUAAUAUUUUGAAUUUUAUUUACAAAAACAAGUAGAGUAUGUUAUAUGAUAAUUUUGAAAUAACUAUUGUAGUUUUAAUAGAAAUAUUUUUAAAGAAUUAUUUUUGUAAAUAGUGAUGAAUAGGUUCUGAUAUCUAAUAUUGCCAUUUUCUUUUAACAAUUUUAGAAUAGUUUUUACUCUGUAAGUUCGAACUUCUUAAUUAUAUCUGUGAACUUUCAACUAUCUUUUUCAAGGAGAAUAGGCUAAAAAUACAUGAAAGAGUAGCUUUUUCUUUUUUACGGAAAUUUGUAAUAAUACUAUUCUAGAAAGAUAGACUUUGUGUUUGACAAGUAAGUAGAAACUUCUUGUUUAUUUACUUAUUAUUAUUAAUUACUACUAGUUAUUGUAAAUCCAUAUCCAACGUGCUACCAACUCUAGAAAUUCAAGAAUAUUAGUAAGAAGCUCUUGAAAAAUCAAUAUGCACAUGUUAAAUUGAACAAAAAAACAUAUAAGAAAAUUCUUGUUUUUCAGGAAGCAAACAAUUCUCUCUUGUAGUUACUUGUGAGACAAUAUAAGAAAUACGACCAAGAAAAAAAAAGUAUUGUAAUGGAAAAUAAAAAUAGUGCAUAUAGCAAAGUUAUUAAAUAAAUAAAUAAAGAAUUAGAAGCAAAAUACACUACUAGAAAUGGGUAAACCGAAAACAUAUUGAAAAGAAAGAGAAAUGGAAAAAAAAAAAAAAAAAAAGAAAUAACUAAUUAUUAUUAAUUUAAUAAAUAAAAAAACAAAGAAGCAAAACCGAAAUUGGCGGGCUGUAAAGAGUUAAGAGUGUUGGUAACCUUGAAAAGACUAAUAAAGAAAUAUUUCAGAAUUGGUCUUUAGCGUAGGCUUUGUUUGUCUCAUUCAUUUCAUUGAUUCAAUUCAAUCAAUUUGAAAAUUACUAUUUGGGUCCAAUUUCAAUCCAAACGAAUCUUCUCUUUGUUUCCAAUUAGGUUUUGUUUAUCCUGUGGUUGGAAUUGGACUGAUAUUUGCCAGAUGAGACCCCUCUAUCCUGCAAUUUUAUUUUUUAAAAGAUUAUUCUAUUCCAUUGAAAAGCAAAAGAUAAUGAAAAUGUUGAAUCUUAAUUAAACAAUACAACAAAAGUUGAAUAUUAUUAUUUUUCACUCCAAGUAUUAAAAAAUGAAAGAUUCAUAUCUUUUAUGCUUUUUGAAUUCAAAAUUGAAUGUUCAUAAUCUACAUUACCAUUUUUUGUGCUUUAAAUUUCAUAAUCUAAUGAAGAUUAAGUCCUUAGAGAGUUAUACACUUACCAAUGUCUUUAUUUAUGUAUAGGAAUCUUUUAAUAAGAAGGAUGUUGUUCUAAAUUUUGAUGUUAUAUGAUAAAUUUUCAAUUUUUUUUUUUCAUUCCUGCCAUCAAUGAUAUCCUUAAUUCAAUUUAGAUAUUGGAUAUUAAAUUUCUUUUCAUGGUUAAUUUCAAAAAAUGUAUUCUCUAUGUUGAUAUAAUGUAUUCAAAAAUAUUAUUUAUUUUUUUAGAGUUUUUGAACCAAAGAGUACAAACAAAUUACAAAUUAUUUGAUUCGAGAUUAGAAUUCAUGAAGAAAUAUUUUGACUUUUUUAGACUUGAGAUUAACAUCCAAUUGACAUUCGAAAUUUAAAAUUUAAUUAGAUCCUUGUUAAUUAUAAUGGGAGGAGUAAUUGACUGGAAUAAAUAAAAUCAAUUCACGAAGAAAAAAAUUUAAGACUUGGACCAACUAUUGCUAAAAAUAUUAAAAAAAAAAAAACCAUUUUAGACUUUUUAUUUUAUGGUAGAUAAUUAACUUUUCACUCUCUUAUGCCCUUUGUAUAAUGUGACAUUCUAACACAUUUAAUACUCUCUAUUAGAUUUGAAUUUCUUUUAAAAAAAAAAAAACUCCAUUAUUUGUUGAAUUUAUUUAUUCAUUUUUUUUUUAUAAAAAUUUUUAAAAAACUUAUAACUCCUAUCUUUAGUAAAUGGAGGUCGAAACAUGAUACUCUAUAUUAAUUGCUAAUAAAAAAAAAAAAUCACUAUCAAUUUGAUUUGAAGUAAAAUAAUUAUUGAAAGGAUAGAAUCCUAAGGGUAUGCCAUUAAUUCAAAGGAAAUGGCAAGAACCUUCUAAUUAAGGUCAUAGUUCAGUCGUCAAAUAAGUUAGUUACUGGUGAUAGAUUUGGAAAGAAUUUUUGGUUUUAAUAUCAAUUUAUGUCAUUUUCUGUACAAAUUUUACAAAAUUAAAUUGGGCCAACUGCCAACUAUAGUCAAUUCAAAAAGAGUGUAUAAUAUAAACUAUACUGUAUAUGCUUGCGUAUAGUAUUUCAAUACAUGUACCUAAGUGCUGAUAUAGACUAUACUUUAUGCAUAAAUUACGAAAAUGCAGUUAAAUAAAAAAAAAAAAUUAGAAAGGGAAAAAAAAAUAUUUUGGAGUAAUUAAGGAAUAAAUAAUUAUAUAUGUCACGUGAAUUUUGAUUGUUCCAAUUUGGUAAUACAAUCCAAGAUUAAAAGUCUUGGUGGUCAAUGUUUAAAUGUUUUGUUUAGUCAAUUCAAAGGCUAUUUAUUUUGAAAAUAUUUAUUAAUGCAAUCUAUAAAGUGUAAUAAAUAUAGUGGCAAAUCAUGAUUUUCAUUUGAUCGAUAAAGAUAAAGACAUAUCACUUUCAAUCCUAAGUGGUUAACUGAACUUGGUCACACAUGUUCGUGAUAGACUUUUAUUUAUUUAACAUUAUUAAUAAAUCAAAUUAAAAGAAUCUAUAUUCCAACUCAUACCACCAUAUGAAUAUGCAUAAUCAGCUUUUCCUUCUGUUUAAUGUUUCUAAUUAACAUAUACUUUGGAUCCACUAAUCCGCAUAUUAUACAUAUGUUGUCAAAUUAACAUGAAUCGGAAGUCUCACCUAAUUUAUUUAUUUAUGAAUUAUUAUAUUUAGUUUAAUGAUGUUAUAAAUUAUUAUUAUUGCAUAUAACUCUAAAUUUAAAAAUUUGUAUAGGGAUAGAAAUAUAGGAUAUUCUUUUGAAAGAGAAUCUCCAAGAAAAUUGUGGGUCCUACCUUAUCAAAGAGAAAGAAAUUGGUGCAAUGUAAAGUUCUUUGUACUUGUCUUGUCUACUGUCUGUGUAUUCUUCUGCCUGUCUACCAAAAUUUAAAUGCGUAUGGGUUUUGAUGUUAUGAUGAUUGACAAGUAACUACACUCAACUCUAGUGGAAAAUGAACAUUGUGAAAAAGAAAAUAAUAAUAAAGUGUAAGCUCAGAAUCUUAAAAUGGGAUCUUAAUUACCUUGUGGCCAGCCUUCUAAUUUAAUAAUAUUAGCCCAAAAGAUUAAAACAGACCCAACAGAUAAAAAGGCCCUAAAACUCCUCGUAUUGUCAUGUCGAUUGUGUCCAAUGGGCUUUGGUUCUUUUGGUCCACACAAGUUAAGGUCGUCGGUUUUAUAUACUACUCUGCUUGAAAAGGCAUGGUUUGAGCAAAUAUUUUGCAAGAACAACCAAUGGAAAGCUUUCAUUAGUAAUAAAAACAAGGAAUCAAGAAGUACAAGAUCGAAGAGUUCAAAUAUGUAGAUCAUUUAAUCACACACAAGUAGUUUCUGGUACAGCUCUCCUGAGAGGGCUAGUUCCAUGACAGCCAUAGGAUCAAUGAUUCCACCAUUUUCCAAGAACAAUUUUGCCAAGUUCUUGGAAAACCCACUAACAAGAGCCAUGCCACUUUGAUUUGCUGUAACAGGCGUAUCAGAAGAGUUUCUCAGGUUCCAAAACACAAUCUCUAGGCAUUUUAGUGAAACCUUUCUCCCUAAAUUUCCUCACUAUAGCUUCAUAAUCAGUCUUCCAUCCUUUCAAGAAACGUUGUCUCUGUUUCUCUAUUUUCAUUUCCAUUUCUCCUCCAGAUCGUUCUGAGACAUAAAAUCAUACUCUAUAUCACUAUCCAUAUCUGAACAAUCACUCUCCGUACAGGAGUCAUACAUAUAGCGACUUUUGUAUGCUUUAUGAAACUCCAUGCCGCUAAAAACAAAAAUCCUCUUUAUCAUCCAAUCCUCUUGUAGCCCUCCAUCAACAGCAACUUUCAGAAUUCUAUCAAAAACCUCUUGGAGAUCUGCAUUGGUACCCGCUUUCAUUUUCUUUAUAAACUUGGUCUUCUCCCGGAGGCUAUCCCCUUUUGAUGGAGUGAAUUUGAGGAUUUCCACUGAAUGCGGUAACUUUGCCCUUCCAUGGUUCCUCACUAAGCUCUGAAAUCAACAACCCAAGUGCAACGCAAACCUCCAUAGGAGUCCCAUCCAUUCUUCCUGAGACAUCACAUACAGUGAUGCAAUUAUUCAAUUUUCCAUUUUCUGACAUAUCUUCCACCAUCCUCGCCCAUUGCAGCUCUGCAACUUUCCCUUCGUCUACAUCCUUCAAAGAAGCAAUUAUCUCAUGAGGGAGAAGAGCACCAGCAGCAAUCUUAGCAUCUCCACGCUUAAGAUCCUCCAAAUAUGCGUUAAACCGCUCAUUAUCAUGCCUCAAGAAAUGUUCCUUGUAAUUUUUCAUGGCUACAGAAGGAACCCUAUCGUAAGGGAGGGUCUCCCACCUAUUAGAACUCGUAUACACCUCAGGUAAAUCAAGAACCUGAUGUAAAGGGACAUGUACUUCCUUCCUCAACCUAUCCCGAAUCCUAUAUACAUAAUGUGCCUCCUCAAUUCCCUCGUAUUCAGGGGAGGACUCUCUAGGGAAAAUCCUCCUUGCAAUAUUCUCGCAUGUCAAUAUAGCUCGAUCAUAAGAUGAAUUAUUAGAAGGACACCACUUUGAAGCAAGACUAAUCUUGUAAAUCUCACCAGAAUUCAGAAACUGCAAAUCUUGCUUUAAAGUAUCUGCAAACAGCUCAGCUACACUAUCAUGCAAAAAUCUAUAAACAGGAUCUCUAGUAUACCUCUCAAAAGCAUUUUUUGCUCGGUCUAGAUGCUUCUCCUUCCUCAAGGUCCUCGCUUGAGCUUUAAGGUUGGCAACCCUCACUUCUUUUGGCAGUGUUGCCUCUGGUUCAGGCUUAUAUUCGAGUGAAGUAUUGGGUGAGUAUUUCCUACUAUUUCUUCCCACCCUUGAAUGCAUCCUUGCCGCCUUUGCAGCGCGUUUCUUGGCAAACAAACUACGUUUUCUCGAAACCCCUUUAUUUGCUUUCUUCACUUGCCAUUCAUCUCUUUCUUUCCGUCUCACAUUCUCUCCUUCUAGCAACCUAUACAAUAUCUCCAGCAAAUCCUUUUAGUAUCCAAACUCUGCCAAAAUCUUCGCGUUGCAAGCUAGGGUUUUUGGGUGGUUUUUGUGCAACCAUAAAGCAGCAGUGUAAAACUGCUCCUUAUCCGACUUCCCUGUGCCCCUAACUCCCCUUAGAUUACAAACAAGCUUCAACGUCGUUAAUGGAUCACAAGCCCAAUCGUUUAUAAGCCGCUAUCAAUGAACUCUAGCGUAUCGGGCACCACGUGGAAGAAAAAGUCAAGGCAAGGGUUUCCAGAGUCCACGUACGUAAGGGAUUUGUUCUCCCUGAAGCCAGAUGUAGGGAGGGUGGUGCUUCCUAGGCGGAUAUUUCCGAUUUUUUAAUGGAAGGCGGACAAGGUCAUGUCGCCAUCAAUAUCGACGGAGAUGGAGGGGAGAUUGGAAUAGAUCCCCGGUGGGCCAACAAGAAGAGAAUCGAAGGCCAUUGUAGAUGAGGAAUUUUGAGAAGAGAAGAUAGUAGAUGGGUUUUCAAAGGUUCUGCGAUCUGGGGCUUUUUAUACAGAAGAUAAUACUAGGAGAGCAAGUAGGGGUUCAGAUUCAGUGUUGCCAUUUCACCGUAUUUUAAGUGAUCCUUUUUUUUCUUUAAAAAAAAAAAAAGAAAAGAAAAAAAUGGUUUGAAGUUUGAACGGUAUUAUUUCCCAUCUUGGCUGAACAAAAAGAUAAUGACUCAAAUAUCUCUGCUCUUAGCUAGAGUUUUACACAAAUUUGAAUAUAUUCUAGGAGCUAUUGCCUUCCCAUGGUGAUUGACUGAUGGACGUUGGGGAUAGACAUGGUGGUCUAUUCUCGUUUCAAAUUCAAAACUGCAGAAAAAUGUUGCUUAAGUAAGGCUUCUACUUCUCUCGGAGAAUAUCUAUAUGUUGUUUCAUUUUGUUAUUUAAAAGGAUUGAUCGGAUUUGGUUUACUUACAAUUGCUAAUUACUGGAACGAAUUGAAUUAGGUGUUGAUUGUGUACAAACAUUCCUCCCAUCAAUGUCAGUGAUUUUAUGCAAUUCUUAUCUUAUUAACCAACUGGAAACGGAAUUCGGAAUUUGAUCACUAAUGGGCUUUCCGGAGCCCUAAUUGUUAGUUUAUUUUGUUCUUUUUUAUUCUCCUCAUGAAUUGGAACGGCAAUUUUGAUUUGGAUGUUGUUUCUGCUUCUGUUGAAAUGAUAAUUCAUAUAUAAUUGUAAGCUACUCAAGCAGCAAUAAUCCUUUUUAUUAGGAAUUCAGGAAUUGUUAUUCUUACUUACUGAAUAUUUCGCAGGAGACUGACGGUGUCUAAUAGAACGAGCAAUACAAUAACAAUUCAGAAUUGGUGCACCAGUACUUCAAUUUAAUGAUUGCUUUAUCAGUUAAUGAAAUAAGGAAAAAAAAAAAACUUCGUCCAGCAUUGACUUAUGCAACUGAAGAUUUUUAUGUAUAAUGCCAUGAGAAAUGAGAUUGGUUAUAGUUUGUUAGAGAUAUGGAAGGAUAAAACAAAUUGUGCAAUCAGCAGGUUGUUUUCUUCCAACCAUACAUUGAAACUAUGGUGGGAUUUAUGAUAGGAGUAAUGGGCUUAUUUCAUUAAAUUACUGCAUAUUUUCAAUCACAUGCUUGUAUGUGAACUUGGAAUUAUACCUGAUAGGUAAACUAUAAAGCUUUUGGUGUAAAUUAUUAUAAAUUUAUGAUUCGCAAUGGAUGGUAGUCUUGGUGUCAUGAUAAGGUUGUUUACUUUGCAUCAGAAAUGACAGGUUAAAAAACAGCCUCAUUGCAAGGCCAGGAAAUUUUACAAGCGUUUCUAUAUUAAGAAGGAAUAGCAUGGCAUGGCCUCAUGGACUGGAAGCAGUCUACUCUUACUCGCUCUGAAUCACAGAAAGAGCAGGUAAUGUCUCUUGAGUUAUGGAAACCUAGCAAUAUGAUUGAUUAAUACUGGCUUAAAAAUCAUUAGCACUAACCAAAAAGAACUCUUGAUCGCAGUUGGGUCAAAUCGAGGAAGAAGUGGAAUGAUAUGGAUAUUAAUCUCAUUAGUUACAGUUAAAUGUUAAGAGUUUCAAAUGCUUGACAUGUGAAACGAACAAGCUUGUUAACUCAUAGUGGAAUAGCGUGUUUUUUUUGGUCCUUUGGUUCAUCAGCUCUGAGUUUUCAAUCCAUGACCUUGCUUAAGACUUUCUUUAGUGUAUGUACCAGGUAAGCUAAGUUACGCCUAUUGGUUAAUGGUUAGGAUCAAAGACAAUUACUACCUCCAGAGUGACUUCAAUAUUCUUUCCUUGUAGAAGCAGUCAAAUAUCUUGGUGAAAGUUAGCUGGAUAGACUAUCCAGCUAAUUGGAUACGAGGUGUUGGGAUUUUCUUUAACCUUAGCAGGUAGACUAGACUUUUGAAAAAAGGUUGGGGAACAUGACUUAACACACAAAAUCAAUAUUACCGACUAGCCAAUCAGAUCAUCACAUAUUAAUUAAUGUUGUUAAAGGUUUAUUAGGUAAGUCAAUUGCGUUAGAUCUUUUAGGCCCUCUUCCCUUAAGCUCAUAAUUGAACAUUUAGUUGAAAUUUGAUAAUAGGAGCUUUGCGGACAGGACUUUUCCAUUCGUAUACAAUAGUGUCUCCAAUAGUUAUGCUGGAGCUAUUUAGCAAGUAAAAAAUAGCGUGUCAAACAUCAAAAUAAGAAAUCUAUAUAUAUAAGAAAUUUCAAACCACCGACAGUUGCUGCUUUACAUGCUAGAACAUAGAUAUAUAUGCUCAUCAAUUACAAUGGACAAGCAAAGAACAAUAAGAAAGAAGAUAAGCAUUCCUUGCUUGUAGUAACUGGUGUAUGAGACAUACGAGAUGUGAUAAUAACUUGAAGCAGCGCUUAUUUAAGCUACUAAGACAUCCAAAUUAAUUUAAAUCAGUUGUUUGGAUGGAUAGGAGAUGGGGGCUUGUGGGGUGGCUCAUAUUGUGGUUUAGGUGGUUCAAUUUGAGGAGUUGGGAGGAGGAAAUCUUUUGUUCGGAGGCUUGUAAUAUUCUGCAUUUUCUACUGGAGGAUGUCCUGGAUAGUGGCCAUAAGGUGGCACUGGCUUGUGGAUAGGGGGAGGUAUAGUUGGUGGCUUGUGUUCAGGGAAUGGCUUCUCUACCUUAGGUGGCUUGUAAACUGGUGGUUUCUCUACCUUAGGGUGCUUGUAAACUGGUGGUUUCUCUACCUUAGGGGGCUUGUAAACAGGUGGUUUCUCUACCUUAGGGUGUACUUGAAAACUGGUGGUUUCUCUACCUUAGGGUGCUUGUAAACUGGUGGGUAAGGUAUUGGAGGCUUGUAUACUGGUGGUGUGAAGGUGGAAGGGCUGUAACCAGAUUCGUCUGGCUUAGAACGUUCAUAUUUGGCAGAAAGAGAGGGAGUGGCUAAAACAGCUACUCCAAGGAGGAGUAUUAAAAAGAAAGUGUGCAUCCUUAGGCUUUUGAUGGUGCUGCUGCAUGAUAAAAGAAGAACGAGGACCCGUUUAUAGUGGUUUGAAGACUUUGCCAGAGGGUACAUAUGUCAUUCUUUUGUUCAUUCUAUUUGUCACUUUGCAAAAAAGUCAAACUAAGUUUCUAAUUUUUAGUUGAGGCUUAAAUGUGAUUGUUACAUUUGGGUCCUAUUGAGUGAGCAAAAUUGGAAAAUUGGGCAAAGGCUCUGUACUCUUGUGGAGGAAACGUUUAGAAGAUCUUACUGUUGUUGAUCUUUCGCUUUCUUUGCAAUUAAGCUAAGAUGUUACACAGUUUUAGGAUGAAGCUGGUUUAGAUAAUUACUUGCAUUAACUGCAACUGCUUUAGAUUUAUUUAUAGAAAUAGUAGCAGAUUACAUUACAUAUGAACAGUCUUUAAUCCUGUUUUCCCCGCAAUGACACCCUAAUCUUUUUUUCUCUUUUGACAUUGGUCAUGACUAUUACAUUUUUAAACUUCUUCAUUUAUUUUAUGCAUUGUAGCAUAGAAGACUGAAAGUUGUUGAUGGAAUUGGGGAAGGUUCAGGACUUAACCGCUUGUGUUGCCAGGACUUAAGCCGGGCUCGUCAGUGGUAUAGUAAGAUCAUCAAAAUCUUCUCCUUUUUCGAAAAAAAAAAAAAGUGUGAACACACAACUUCUUUGUUCUGUGUUUAUUUUCUCAGCCAAUCUUAUUAUCCCAUAUUGAUUCAGGAUUAAGGUCUUAAGUCAACAUGUAAAACUUGAGCGAUUUCUCCUCCCCUUGAGCUACCUUAUGGAGAGUAAGUUAAGCUUGGUUAACAUGUUAUCAGAGACUACCGAAAAAGCCCAGUGCCAUUGUAGUUGCAUGCGAAUGCUUACUAAUAGUACCUAGUUUUAAAGCCAAUUUCAACGAUAGUGUUUAUGGUUUUACAUGCUCUAUGCUCUCGCUAAUCGAUGUCAUAUAGGCAUAUUUGUUCACAGUUAACGAAUCACUUCACUUUUACAUCCUUUGUAUAAUACAUAACUAAUCUUAUAAUAGUUGAACAAUCUUUGAAUAAUGCAUGUCCGAUAGAAUUUUGACCAACCAACCGAAGCAGAAUAUGUAAAUGACUAUAUAUAUAUAUAUAUAUAUAUAUAUAUAUAUAUGCACUGACUACUGUGCUUUACGUAAGGAUAAAUAAAAAGACAUGCCCAUCGGCUAUUAUUGACGUGCAAUAGUGCAAUUAUAGUAUGAGUUAAAUAGAGAAAAGGCAGAAUGACUGCAUAUAAGCUCUUAUUUCUAGUUUCUGAUAGUCUCUCUAUAUCAGCACUAACUCAUCAGUAGGCACGAAUCGGUGGAGGUGCCUUGUAGUGUGGACUAGGUGGCUUCUUAUGUGGCAUCGGAGAAGGCGUUAUCUUCCUUGGUGGCUUGUGAGGGCCUUCACCACCUUCCAUUGGAGGGUGUGCUGAAAAUUGACCAUGAGGUGGUAAUGGCUCAUGUUCUGGCGGCAAAAAUCCUGGUUUGGGAGGUAGAGUUGGUGGCUUGUGUUCUGGGAAUCCCUUGGAUACUUUGGGAGGUUCAGCUGGGGUUAAUGGCUUCUGUUUUCCUGGUUCAUGAACUGGCAUUGGUGGCUUGGGCUCAGGGAUUGGCUUCUCCAGCUUAGGAGGAGGUUUAUGAACUGGCAUUGGUGGCUUGUGCUCAGGGGCAGGCUUGGGGCUAAAAGCAGGUGGAAAGUGCUCAAAGUGAGAUGGCUUGUGGUGAUCGGCCAAGGAAGGAGUGGCCAGAGCCACCACACCAAUUAGCAACACUAGCAGGUAUGUGUUAGACAUUUUGAUGCUUUGAUGGUUUAAAAGUAGAAGAAUCAAUGCCCUUUUAUAAUGGUUUGGCACCUACAUUGGCAAAAGGUGUCCCAAAAUUAUUCGUUUUGCUUCAUACACAGUCUGCGAAAUGUCAAAAUAAAACUCCGCUGAUUUUUGGGUUAGGAGGCUCCACUGAGACUAUGCCAGUUGAAAAACUGGAAAAAUUAGGCAAGUUGAUGAUUCCAAAAUAGAGAGAAGGAUUGAGAAGCAAGGUUCUUUUUUCCUCCAUGAUUUCGCAAAUGUCAACUUUCACAACGAAUAUAUUUGAAAAAAUGCAUUCCUAAGUGCAUAAAUUGAAGAAAUUUAUCUUCAGUUUGUUUUUUAAUUUCGAAAAAAAUUGAUUAAAAGAUUGGCCCUUUACGCGUUUUCUUAAUUGGCGGCUGAUAGGUGUGCGGAAACAUAUGAAACUACUACCAUUAACGGUAUAAACUGAAAUUUUUGAAGGGUAAGUUUUCCCUUCUUCCUCUUUUUCUUCUUUCUUUGUUUGUAUCCACUGACCUAAGAGACAAAUGUAGAAUUAUUAUUUAUUUAUUUAUUUAUGUUCAUUAACCAUCCAUUUUUUGCCAUCUAAACUGUUUUCUAAAUUAUUCUAUAAUAAUCCCUCUUUUUUUCCUUUUGAUUUUUUCCCAAAUUAUUUACACAUUAAUUUCAAUUUAAUUAAAUUAUUACUUGCCAUUUAUUAUGAUAUGUUAAAACUUGUAUUAUUUUCAGUUAUUAUAAUCAUUUUUUUUAACUUGUAACUCUUUCGUAAUCAUUUAUUAACUAUAUUUGAAUUGACACUGGUAUUUUAAUUUUAAGAAAAUAUUCAAUUAAUUUAAUUAAUUUUUCUAAACAUAUAAUAAUAAAUUGUUAAUUAUUACUAAUCUUAUUUUAUUAUGUUGGUUUUAAGAUAAAAACCGCAGUGCAAGCAUGGUGGCCAUUUAGGUGUUGAUGGAUUGGUGGGCAUGGUGGCUCUGUUGUGGUGUAUGGCUCGCCUGGUGGUUGUCUUGGCUCAUAUCUAGGAGGCGCUACGAGCUUGCCUCCAGGUGGAAGUGCAAUCUCGUUCUCAAGAGGCAGUGUGGGCUCACCUCUAAGGGAAGGUGACGGCUCAUUUUCAAGAGGCAAUGUGGAGUACCUAGGGUUGUUUAAAUAGUUGCUACGGCUUGAAAUUGAACCGAACCAGGAGAAAAUCAAAUAAAUCUUAGAUUUUAAAAUGAAAAUUGAAUCAAACAGAGAAGCGUAUACAAAUGGAAUCAAAUCGAUUUGGUUCAAUCAUUUUUCAGUUAUUUUUUAUUGUUUUAGACUAGAUUGUUUUCUGUGUUCCAUAAAAACCGAACUGAACCAAACUGGUUGGCUUCAAAUAUUGCGCCAAGUUUUUGACAUGAUUUUGAAGUUGCAUUUGUUGUUAACUUCAACAAUGUUGGAGCCAUUUGGUUGCAAUUUGCAAAUAUAGCGUUAUUUUAAAAUUUAUGAUUUUGAAGUCCCUUUCCUCUUAGCAGAUUUCUACCUUUUCAUUUUAUUUUUAAAUUUAUGAGUGAUGUUAUUAUUUAUGUUCUUAAUACUAGGUUUCUACUAAGUCUGAAUUAUUGCAAUGGAGUUAUUUAUUCAUUUAUUUGUUUCUGCUUGACUACUUUUAUUUCUGUAACCAUAUUAGCUGAAAAAUUAUGAAAGAUAGAUAAAUAAUAAAACAUGCAAAGCAACCCUAGCAUGUGGUUUAUUGGUACUUAGAUUUUCAGUACACCAGCAAACCUAGCAUGUCGUUUAUUACUUACACUUAUUUCUAUAUAAUAUGAUAGGCCAGCUUUGGAUAUUUGACGGUAUUAGCUGCUGCUUCUGUCCAUAUAAGAUGAAACCUACAAAGUUAUUGGAGGGUCCCCUUUAGGUGGCGGGUGAGCCUGACCUUGAUGAGAUGGUGGUGGACAUGGCUUUUGGCCUUUUGGAGGUGAAACAGGCUCUCCUUUUGAAGGUGGUGGAUUGGGUUUAGGCUGUGAAGGCUGUUCACCUCUGGGUGGUGGACACGGCUUGCCUUUAGAUGGUGGUGGACGCUCACCCUUUUGAGGUGGCUCAGAUUUAGGAGGUUGUGAUGGUGGCGGACGCUGCUGGCCUUUAGAUGGCGGUGGACCCUCUCCCUUUUGGGGUGGCUGUGAUGGUGGAGGACACGGCUUGCCUGUAGAUGGCGGUGGACGCUGGCCUUUUUGGGGUGGCUGUGAUGGUGGCGAAGGCUGCUGGCCUUUAGAUGGCGGUGGACGUUCACCCUUUUGGGGUGGCUGUGAGGGUGAAGGACACGGCUUGCCUGUAGAUGGCGGUGGAUGCUCACCCUUUUGGGGUGGCUGCGAUGGUGGAUGACACGGCUUGCCUUUAGACGGCCGUGGACGCUCACCCUUUUGGGGUGGCUGCGAUGGUGGAGGACACGGCUUGCCUUUAGACGGCGGUGGACGCUCACCUUUUUGGGGUGGUUCAGAUUUAGGAGGCUGUGGUGUUUGCUGCUUACAGCCGGCACAUUGAUGAUGAUCGUUAUUAUUUUCAUCCAUUGAACUUAGGUUUUUGGGUUGAUCAUGGGAGAGGGAUGGGAUGACAAAAACCGUCAAAGCAAUGAAGAAGUAAAGCAGCAGCUUCAUGUAUGGAGUAGACAUUUUUGCACUACAAUGGGUUGCAGAAGGUGUGAUAUAUGUUGGCAAUUUAUAGCUGUUGAAGGUUGUGUGAAAUUGUAAUAUGCUUCAACUCAUAUUUGUUUGAUUCAAGCAAUGUUAAGGUCAUUUGGUUUGUUCAUUCAUAUACGUGUAACCUUUCUUCAGCCAAAUGGCAAUGCAAAUCUAUGUGCAUGCUUUUCUUUCUCUCCUCUCUUGUCCUAAAUGAAGAAUUUACCAUUUUAAGGAGUAUUUUAGUGCUUUCAUUGUAAACUUUUUUUCCUCUUUACUCAUUUUUUUCUGCAUAUAAAUACUUUCCUUUGCUGCAAUUAGCUCAAACGAAAGGCAAAAAAAUAUACAGGAAAUAUACUUUUUUAUUUAAUAUUAUUCAGUUCAAGCAACAUAUUCAGCUAAGCAAAAGCAGCACAAACAACACAAUCCACAAAUUUUAUUUAAGUGGUGGCAUUAUAUACUCUAAGCCCUUAUUUUCACACACGUACCAUGAGACUAUAAUCUUCAUGAUAAGAUAUAAAUACAGGGACCGACAUGAUUAUUUGUUAUCAAUACAUAAAUGGUGGAGCAGAGAUAGGUGUUGGAUAGCUUCGACAUGCAAUUAACACUUUCUAUCCCUCGGAAACUUUACAACACCAGAACAUGGCUGUUUCUGCAACGGAAAUAAUAACUGGUUACCAAAAGAUAACGUUUUUCUUCCAGAAUUAGAGGGAGGCCUUCCACGCGGUGGCCUUCUUGGUGGAAUUCUUGGUGGCCUUCUUGGUGGUAAGAGUUGAGCAUCAAGCGAAGGGGUUAAAGAAAGAAUCAAAGCUCCAACGAGGAACAAUACUAGCAAGUGCUUGAGACUGAGACUCAUUUUUUGAGCUAUUAAUUAGUGAUCUGCAGAAACUUGAGAACUGGAGUGGCCAUUUAUGGUGGAUUGCAGGACUAAUUCGUCAAACCACGGGCCUUUGGAUAGUUGACAUCUGUGUUCAUUAGUCUAAUCACUUUUUGAAACGAUGUAGAAAGCCUGAAAGUUAAUUAGCCACUCCUCCCGAGGGAAAACAAGUGGCCAUUAGGCGAGUACAGCUUAAUCAGUUGGUAGCAAUGUGUGUAGUAUGUCCAUUUUGUCUUCAUUGGUCGAAAAGCUUGACAAUUUUCAUUAAUCACUAUUCCAAAUUUCUUUUAAGAUAAAGUUAAGUAAGUUAAUGCAGUUGUGCUAGGAAGAAAGUAGAGGAACCUAUAAAAGAAAUCUGGUCUAAUUACCUUCUUGAAGCGGUGUGGAGAGUAUUGAAAAUCAAUUAGCUACUCCUUUCCUCCCCAAGGAAAAUAAACAUUGUGACAUGACUACUAGUAAGACUUGGUUUACAUUUGACAAAAAAAAAUUAAUGAAAUAUUAAGUAAAUUUAUUAUUAUUCUCUUGUUUAGCUACGCUAUAAAAACUUAACUGAAAAAUAUUUAGAAUUAUUUAGAAAUUAGUAAAAUAAAUUUAAAAAAAGGCAUAAAAAUGAUUAAUUGAUAGUUAUCCUGAUGGUAAAGGUUGGUGGUAGCCAUUGACUAAUAAUUGAUGGUAAUUACCCGUGAUCAACAAUUUAAUAUAAAUAUAUGUUUUUAAAACUAUAAUAAGUUUGUAUUACAAGAAUCCAGCUAUUUUUUAAUAAUAAUAAAUUUAUAUUUACUGAUAAAAAAAUUAUAAUAAAUUUAUUAAUAUUCGAAAAAUAUUUUUCUUUUUUUUUUUAGAAGAAAAAUGUUUUUGUAAAAAAAAAAGUUAUUUUUUUUCUUAAAUAGUAUAAUUUUCCUUUCCUAUGGAAAAUAUUUCUUAUUCAUUGAUAUUUUUUUUACACUUCAAAUGUCAGAAAAUAUGUUUAGAUAACUUAUAUAUUAAAAAAAUAAUUAAAAAAAAGGACGCAGCCCUCAAUUUCAUUAGUAAUUUGAACGGUUAUGAUUCCCUACACGACUUCUGCGUUGUUGGAUCACGUUUCUUUCAUUGUCUCUUGCCAUUUUGUGUGGCCCGCUGACUUCAUUGAUUAUAUAUAUAUAUGUAUAUAUGUCGUGCCCUACGAUAUUGAAGGAGCAAUAGGCACGUGUAUUCUAACAUCGAAGAAGCUUUCUACGUUGGACCAUAAAUUUCUCGCCACGUCGUCAAGUACACCUAAAACUACAAAAGGAGAUGACGACAAAAUGGGAUCCUAUGUUUUGACCCAAUGCAGGUGUCAAAGAUCUAUUGGGUGACGUGUGACAGCCGAUAGAUACUUGUUCUUGGGCAACUAAUGUCAUUGGCUGGAUUUUUUACUCAUUUAUAUUUUUUAUAAAUAAAAUAAUAGAUUUUUUAAAUUGAUAUUUGGUGGUGUCAGUUUUUUUUUUUAAUUUUAUUGUGAAAUCUCUUAAUUACCCCUCCCAACAUCUAUCAACAGCUAUAUAACGGCUAGUUUUAAGAGUAUUUUUGAAAAAAUAAUUUUUUGGAUUUAUUACAAAUUAAGUUCAAGCUCUUUUUUUUUUUUUAAUUAUGUUCAAAUUUUUUUAAACAAAAAAUAAAUUCAGUUGAAGAUUUUUUUAAAAAAAAUAAUUAAGUUCAAGUUUUUUAAAAAAAUAAAUUUAAUUGACGCAUUUUUUUAUUUUUUAGAUGUAUUUUUUUUUUAGAAAUAACUUUCACAAAUUUUUAAAAUUUUGAAAACCGGUCUUCAAAAUUUAAAAUUUAAAAUUAUACGAUUCGCUGGAAAACAGAUCGAAACCGUCGGUUUUGAAACCGUUAAAGAACCAGAACCGAAACCAUUCGGUUCCAAACCAAAACCAAAAAUUUUGGGUUUGGUUCCGGUUCCAAAAAAUUUAGAACCGGAACCGCCGGUUCGAAACUGUAGCCACUCUUAUAUAUAUAUAUAUAUUUUUCCAUACACGUGUCACCAAAUUCUGGCACAAACAAUAUCUCUAAAUCAAGUUUCUCAAUAAUCUAAACUCUAAAUUUUAGUACACUCAACAGAGUAAUCAAAAUUUUCAAAUUAAGAAUUUGAAAAUUAAUAGUAUGAACUUACAAAUAAAUGAUUGAGUAUAUCAAUUAUGGAAUUCAAAGUGUCAAUUUGUAAAUGAACUUCAUAAACUUUAAAGUAUCGAAGUGAUGAACUGUAAGUUGCGAUUUAAUUGACAAUAUAAUCUAGAUACGUGUGAAGAAUUCUCAUAUUCAAUAUGAAAAAAAAGGCAAAGAAUUUUAAUUAUGUGUAAGCUUCAAAUUAAAUUAGCCUUACAUAAUAAUAAAAUUCAAAUAUCAGUGUUUUAAAAAAUUUAUUGAAGUGAUAAAAUAAAGGUUAACAAGUCGCAAUUAUUAAAAAUCAGUUGCAAAAGUAAAAGCGAGUGGAGCUUUGGGUUUCACAUAGUUGAAAAGUUUGACAAUUUUCAUUACUUACAAUUUUAUAUUUCUUCAGACACAAAAUUAAGUUAUCCAUAGCAGCACAUGUUUGUAUUUUAACAUGCUGGUUUAUGAGCCAAUAGGUUCCUGAUUUGAACUGAUUUAUGAAAUAUCUAUUGGGGUUUAAUUUGAGAUUUAACUUGUACCAUAUAUUAACUUUCAAGUGCGGGAUGAUUAAGCCAACAAGGUCAAGUGGUAGCUGCAUGUUAAUCCAUUAUGCUUUCUUGUCACCAUUCAAAUUAAUCACGUUAUUUAGACCUAAUUUACAUAUACUACCUUUUUCCAUGCAAAAGCAUGCAUGUACGUAUUAUUAUUAUUAUAUGUGUAUAAUUUGGAUAUUGAUAGACUUGGAAGUUUAUGAACUUCUACUUUAAUUUAUCCAUUGCUAUUGUUUAUAAAUCUAGCUUAAUUAUUAUGAAUAUUAAUUUUUAGUACGCCUACAUAUGAUAUUAAUUAAUUGUUAUCAUUAGGAUUUUUAAUUUGGGACUUUGUUUGGAAAGGAGAGGAAAGAAAAUAAUAGUGGAAGGAAAAUAAAAAGGAAAAAUAAUGAAGUACUAUUGUUUUCUUUUCUUAGUCAAUUUCCACUCUUUCGUUUGAAUGGAAAGGGGAAAAAAAAAAAAGGAGAAAUAAUGGAUUUAUUCCACAUUAAACAACAUGUAAUUUUUCAAUUCAUUCAUCAUUUCCUCUCUAAUUUAAAAUUUCUGUAGAAUGGAGAGGAAAAAAAAUACAUAUUUUCAUUCUUUCACCCUUUUUAAACAAAGAAAAUUCCUUUCCCUUGAUAUGUUAUAUAUAUAUAUAAUGUUUUUUUCUUUGGGUUACAAAAGGAAAGAGACAAAGAAACCUAUCUCAAAAAGUUAAUAUAUAUAAAGAGAAAAUCUCCUUCUCCAAACAAAGCAUUAAUAUAAGUUCAUACCAAUAUUGAUGUAAUGAGAGUCAUUACAGAAGGAAAGUUAAUCAUAUUUUGUAACUUGGGGUGCUUCGAUCCAUUUUUAACUUCAUUAAAGAAGAAUAUCAAGGGAGAGGGCAAGUACAUUAAAGAUGAUUACCUUUUCUUUUAUUUUCUUCUUCCCUUAUUUUGGCAAAUUUUGCAUGCAUCAUCUCUUGGCAAAUGAAAUUGUCAGUAUAGUAAUAUUUUUCUGACCUUCAAAUCAGUUAACUGAAAUGAAGUAAUAUAUGUAUGUACGUAUGUAUGUAUGAAACCCAAAAUAGUCAAAGUUCAAACAAAUCAAUACUUUAGUUGGCUUUACUAUUCAAUUUAUAUAUGGCCACGAAUAUGCAAAGCUGCAACUAGUAAUUAACUUCCAACGUCCAUGGAAUCAAAAUUUACUGUUUUGUCAUUUUCAUUAAGGAUGGUGAUUAUAUUCAUUAUCUCACUAUUGUAAAUCAUUAAUUGGAUUUUUAAUUAUCUUAACAUUUAGUCAUUCCAAUUAGAUUAGAUAUAAUAUUAAUUUGCACAAAAGAGGAAAGAAAAGAAAGAAAAGGUGAUUUCGUAAACUAGAAAACAUGCAUGGUUUAUAAUACUGGCAACGUAAGGUAAACAUACAUUGGAAGAGCAUACUAAUAUAGAGUAAUGCUCAUAAGCCACAACCCAAUACAUAAAAGCAACUGACUAAACAUAUCCAAGUAAGAGACAGUUUAUUGCUAUCUAGCUAUGUAUAUAUAUAACCAUGCAUAGUAGUGAAGCACUCAGUUGGCUGAUGGAGGUUUGUAGGGUGACUUCAACUUCCGUGGUGGCUUCUCUCCUUUGCCUUUAGGAGGAUCUUGGGGUGGUUUGCGUUCUGGGAAUGGUUUUCCUCCUUUACCGUUAUCAGCCUCCAUCAAAAUGUGCCCAGGGAGAGGAUCAUGUGGAGGCUUAUGCUCUGGGGGUGGUCUCUCACCAUGUUCCUUUGGAGGUUGCUGUGGCUCUUCAUGUUCAUGGGGUGGUUUAUGUUCCGGCAGUGGCUUCUCUCCUUUGCCUUUAGGAGGCUCUUGGGGUGGUUUGCGUUCUGGGAAUGGUUUUCCUCCUCUACCCUCAUCAUCCUCCAUCAAAAUGUGUCCAGGGCGAGGAUCAUGAGGAGGCUUAUACUCUUUGGGGGGUUUCUCACCAUGUUCCUUUGGAGGUUGCUGUGGCUCUUCAUGUUCAUGGGGUGGUUUAUGUUCCGGCAGUGGCUUCUCUCCUUUACCCUUAGGAGGCUCCUGGGGUGGUUUAUGCUCUGGAAAUGGCUUUCCUCCUUUACCUUCAUCAUCCUCCAUCAAAAUGUGUCCAGGGUGAGGAUCAUGAGGAGGCUUAUCCUCUUUGGGUGGUUUCUCACCAUGUUCCUUUGGAGGUUGUUGUGGUCCUUCAUGUUCUGGAGGUGGUUUCUCUCCCUUACCCUUAGGAGGCUCUUGGGGUGGUUCGUGUUCUAGAGGUGGCUUCUCUCCCUUACCUUUAGGAAGCUCUUGGGGUGGUUUCUCACCAUGUUCCUUUGGAGGUUGUUGUGGUCCUUCAUGUUCAUGGGGUGGUUCAUGUUCUGGAGGUGGCUUCUCUCCCUUACCCUUAGGAGGCUCUUGGGGUGGCUUCUCUCCCUGACCUUUAGGAGGCUCUUGCUGCGGUUUAUGCUCUGGGAAUGGUUUCCCUCCUCUACCCUCAUCAUCCUCUAUCAAAAUGUGUCCAGGAUGAGGAUCAUGUGGAGGUUUCUGCUCCGGUGGUGGCUUUUCACCCUUUCCUCUAGGUGGCUCUUGUGGCUCCUCAUGUUCAGGAGGUGGUUUAUCGCCUUUACCCCUAGGAGGCUCAUGAGGUGGUUCUUGUUCUGGAGGUGGCUUCUUGGGAGGCCCGUGUGGGCCCUCAUGGGAUGGUUCAGGUUCAUGCCUAGGCCUGGGAUCGCCACCAGCCUGAAACUGAUCAGCAAGUGAGGGUGUUGUGGUGCUGAUGACCACAACUCCCAGGAAAAACAAGACUAGCAAGUAUUUAGGAUACAUGUUGGCUUCGAGCUUUAGUGAUGCAAAACUUGUGAGGAUCGAGUGGCCUUUUAUAGCAGAUCAUUGGGGCCUACGUUACAUUACUACGUCUGUCAUGUUCCAUAGUGAGGUCCAUUCAUGAGUCCAACUGCGUUGAAAAAUGUGACAAAAAUGUUUUUUAGUAAUAUUUAUUUAUAUUUUUCAAAGAAUAUAAAGUUUGAAGCUCUUUCUCCACUGAGAGGUCAAAUAAUUUCUGUGGUAGCAUUAUCAUGCUUGCUUCUUAUUGGCUAGAAUUGCGUCUGGACUUUUAGCUUUCCAUUUCACACCGGAUCUCAAACGGAUAAAUUAUUGUUGGCAGAAAGCAUAUGCAGUAGGAAAUAGGAAAUAGCGUGAGUAUUAUAAAAGUUGAAUUGACCUUUUUGUCUUUUUCUUUUUCAUCCCAUAGGCUUCGAUUACGUGAUGGAAAUAAGUUUGUUUUUUCCCCACUUUCCGUCAAAUAUUUUACCACUAGGAAAGUGUAGAUGGGCAUGGAUAAAAAUUUUAUAAUGCAUUUCUCCAUGAAAAGAAUUUUAUAUGCAUGAAUUCCCUACUGUGGGCUAUCAACUAGUUUUUUCUUUCUUUCUUUUUUUUUUUUUUAAAUUGGUAGCUAAAUGCAUAAAUACAUUUUUAUAUUUUAUAAAAAAAAUUCAUUAAAUAUUUUAAUUUAUAAAACUAUGCCGAUUAAAUAUUUCAACUAAUAAAAUUUUUCAAUUGAAUAUUUCAACUUGUAAAAUUUAAUAUAUUAAAUAUUUAUUAAAUAGUUAAAAUAUGUGAAAGUUAUUAUCCCAAAAUUAUAAUAAAAAUACAUAAAAUUAAUUUUUUUUUUUACUUAUAGACUUUAAAAUGCAAAAAACUAUUAUUGUUGGUGUAGAAAAAUAUGAAAAUAUAUUAAAAUUCAUAACUUUAAAUACAUAAUAGAUCCUUACAAAAUUAGAGAUAUCGCAGGAUUUUUUAUUAUUGAAGUACAAGAAUAUAUUUAACCGUUAACAAUUAUUCUUACAUGAAUAACCACAUUAAAUGGAUUUAGUUCACUUUGCGGUAUAUGAACUAACUUACUUUUUCGGGGAAAAAAACUAACUUAUAAGUAUUUAUUAUAUGAGUAAGACAAGUAUAAUAAUAUAGAAAUUAAUUUCAUAGGGUGAAUGUAAUAAUUCAUUACGUAAUAUAUAGAUAAUAGCUUACUAAUCCAAGUCUUUGAUAGCUAUUGAUGAAUUCAUAAUUAUACAGGACAUAAUAAUUUUUGAUUUUUACUAAAAGUUAAUAAGUCAAAAAAAAUUUAUUUUCCAUAAUAAUUCACUAAUUUCAACUAAAAUUAUAAAUAAGAGUAAAUUGAUAAAUUAUGAAAUAAAACUUCAUUAAUAUAAUUUUUUUUAAGUUUCGUGUGAAAAUUGAACUGAAUAAUUAUUUUUAGAUUUAUAGGAUAUAUAUUAAACUUUUGAAAACGUAGUCUCAGGUGAUAUAUUUCGUGGUUGAAGUUGAAAAUUUUGACAAAUUCUUUUCUUGUUCUUUUUCAAACGAUUUUUUCUUCUUUUUCUUUUUUUUUUUCAACUGAGGAUGACAUGGUAUUGUGAAAAAAAAAAAGCAGACUGCUAAACAAAACUAACGACGGGGAUGAGAAUGACAACAAGAGAACUAGAUGCAGUGAAUAGCUCGCGAUGGAGACAAACAUCGAUUGAGAAAUAUAUUUUGUCCCCACGAAGUCGAAAAUUUUGACAAAUUGCCAACUCCCAUUUCUUUAGCAUUGUCAACUUUCUGGCUACUUUCCUUUAGUUGUUUCGAGAUUUAGAAAUUAAUUCCAUUAUUAGUAAUUUCGUUUCCGAGUUUUUGAAUCACAAAAUUUUAAUAAAAUAAUUUUAUAAGUUAAAGUAUUUAAUAAUGAAAAUUUUAUAAAUUGAAAUAUUUAAUAAAUCAAAUUAAAAAUUAAAAUUGUCACAAUAAUUUUAUAAAAAUUACAGAGUAACUUUAUGUAUUUAGUCGGAUAUAUUUAUUUAAAAAAAAUAUUCUGCAUGUUAUUUUUAGUUGGUUAAGAAAACAGUUUUUGUAAUAUUUGGACAAAAUGCAAAAUCAGAAACAAAGAUCUUUCACCAACAGUUUUCAUGAAAUCAAAUUGAUAGAUCAACACCAAAAAUUGUGUUGGUGAAUGAGAGCUAUAAUUAAUAAUUUAUCACAGAGCGUGUGAAUCCAAGCAAGAAUUUGGACAUAGAAAUCGGCCAUGGCGAACACAAUAAUGUCCAAGAAAGUACCAAAAAGCAAACAAAUUAACGAAAGGACGAGAGUUGAAAAGGUUGAAUUUCAUCCACCGGGAUUUCUUUUAUUUAUAUGUUUUUCUGUUUUUAUUUCACAAUAACGUACAGAGCAGAGACAGUGACUACCCACGUGCCAUGUUUGCUCUGUACAUGAUAUAUAUCUUGUGAUGGAUAUGAAUGUACCUUUGGGAAAAGUUUCUGCGUCUUUACAUGUUUGUCAACCUGCUAAAAUUGUCGGUCACAUUCAGAAUUGUGGAACUAAUACAUACCAAAAACAAAGCAUCCCCUUAAUAUUUUUAUCUUCUUUUUACAUUUAACGUGUUUUUAAUUUUAGUUGUCAAAUAAUUAAUUAUAGACAAAAUAAGCCUAAUUUAUAAUAGUCUUUUUUUUCUGAAAUCUAAUUUACAGUAAUCUAAUACAUAUAAAAAAAUUAAUAAAUUAUAAAUUAUUCUAAUAGGCCUGCCUAAUCAAAAAAGCAAAACUACCUUUGGAUUGGAAGAUUGUCUUCUAUCGAUGCAGAAAUGCAAUUAUUUUUAUUAUUAGUAUUAUUUUUUAAUGCAAAGUGAUGGAAGAAUGCUCACAUACUUUGACUCCACAGGACCACAUUAGUACCGCCUCGACAGGUAAUCACUCGAUUUAAUUUUUUCCAUGAUUUGGUGUAACUACCGCGGAUCUUUCCUUUUUUUUUUUUCUUGGUUUGAUUAUAUUUUGCUGAUUAAAUAUAUUUGACAUAAUAAAAAGAAUUAGUGUUUUUUCAUAGGAAAAACAGAUAAAAUGUUUUAAAAAAAAUAUAUAUUUUUUAAAAAAAUUAAAUAUGAGCUUCGUGUUUAAUCUAUCUUUUAUACAAAAAAAAAAUCAGAAACUAAUUCACAAAAAUGGAAAAACAUCAAAUUAAUAGUAAAAUAUAUUCUAUAUAAUAUAAGAUAUCUUAAUCUAUAAGUAAUUCUCUUUCUCAAAAAAAAAAAAAAANNNNNNNNNNNNAUAUAUAUAUAUAUAUAUAUAUAUAUUUUGUACAUGCUUAAAUUAAUUAAAGCUUGAGGGUGAGUGCAUAUGUAACCGUCCACAAGGACUCCAGUCCAAAUUGUCAUUCUCCUAGUGCAAAGUGGAGGAAAUAAAAUUGCACGUGAUAUUGUACAACAUAUACUCUGAUGUGUUACUAUUUUCCUUUUCCGACAUCUGAAUAUCAUCACGUGGUAAUCAUUUAAAACAAUUCUUACAAAAAAUUUAAUUAUGUUCUAUUAAGAAAUUCUACAAUCAAAUUAUUUUGUGAUAGAAUUUAGGUUGUAAUAGAAAAGAAGAAUAGGAUAUUAAUUAGGCGAUUGUUAUAAAUUUGGAAGUAAUAAAAUUUAUUUCUAUUGUUUGUAAUAAUUAAAAAAAAAAUCAGAUAACUUAUUUAACUUACUAUUUUUAAUAGUACCAUUGAAAUUUCUUUUUCUUUGUUUUAAAAAAAAUAUUGAAUUUUCUGUUUAAUCCAAUAGGUAAUAUUUUUUUUUAUAUAUAAAAGAAUUUAACUAUUCCAUAAUAUGUUAUGGAGUAUUAGUGAUUAAAUUAAAUUCUGUGGAAUUAAAUCUUUACAUUUCUUCAAAUUGCUAAUGGACUUAUUAACGAGUCAAUAAUUUAUUAUCAGCAAUAUCGGAAUAAGGAUUCAAUCCUGUUGAUGCCUUCUGUACGUGAUAGUUGCAUUGUGACUGGGUUCUUUUGAUCGUCAAAUUGCCACGCAUUAUAUAAUAAAGGAAAGAUAUAAAACCAUAAAAGAGUAACACUCAUUAUAUAUAUAACAGUAUUCAACAUAAGAACAACCAACUAGGGGCCGGUGCUCAGAUGGUACGUACAAGCCAAAAUACAAACACUAAAAGAACAGAAGACUAAACCUCCGUUUCUUAUUCCCAACAUUUUAUCUAUUAAUGCUGGUCAGUAACCAGACACUUGAUUAAUUAGUUCUCAGUUGGAGGCUUGUGCGGUGGCUUUUGGGGCGGCUUAUGGGGUGGCAGGUGUUUUAAUGGUGGUUUCUCUCCCUUUCCUUUAUAUGAAUCCUCAACUAACUCUUCCUCAGCCAAAAGAUGUCCAUGUGGUGGCUUGUGGGGUGGCUUGUGUUUUGGUACUGGUUUCUGUCCCUUUCCUUUAUAUGAAUCCUCGGCUAGCUCUUCCUCAGCCAAAAGAUGUCCAUGUGGCGGCUUAUGCUUUGGUGGUGGCUUAUUACCCUUAUGUGAGUCCUCUACAACCUCUGUAGCUAAAAGACGUCUGAGGGGUGGUUUGUGCUCUGGUGGUGGCUUGUGCGGUGGUUUGUGCUCGGAUGAUGGCUUUUGAGGUGGAAAAUUCUUAGGAGGUGGUUUCUCUCCCUUACCCUUAAAUGGCGGUUUUUGGAAGUCCUCUACGCUAUCCUCGCUUAAUAGGUGCCCAUGUGGUGGCUUGUGUGGUGGUUUGUGCUCUGGUGUUGGCUUUUGAGGUGGAAAAUUCUUAGGUGGUGGCUUUUGAGGUGGAAAAUUCUUAGGAGGUGGGUUCUCUCCCUUACCCUUAAAUGGUGGUUUUUGGAAGUCCUCUUCGCUAUCCUCACUUAAUAGGUGACCAUGUGGUGGCUUGUGUGGGGGGUUGUGCUCUGGGGGUGGCUUUUGAGGUGGGAAAUUCUUAGGUGGUGGCUUUUGAGGUGGAAAAUUCUUAGGAGGUGGGUUCUCUCCCUUACCCUUAAAUGGUGGUUUUUGGAAGUCCUCUUCGCUAUCCUCACUUAAUAGGUGACCAUGUGGUGGCUUGUGUGGUGGGUUGUGGUCUGGUGUUGGCUUUUGAGGUGGAAAAUUCUUAGGAGGUGGUUUCUCUCCCUUACCCUUGUAAGGUGGAUCAUGGACAUCCUCUACAUUAUCCUCACUUAACAGAUGACCAUGUGGUGGCUUGUGCUGUGAGUGGUGGUGAUCAUAAUGAUCAGCUAAUGAAGAAGAAAUGGAGAGAAUCACGACUGCUCCAAUAAGGAGCAACACUCGCAAGUUUUUAGAAGAGAACAUGUUUGA